UGGCACAUAGUUUUCCCCAACUGCCCCCUAAAUCAAGGACGCAUGCACGCAGCAUAUCCUCUAAAGUCUGUAUAGUCCUCUCCGAUUGCCCAUCAGUUUGUGGAUGAAAGGCUGUGCUGAAGUUUAACUUGGUUCCCAUAGCCUCUUGCAAACUUUUCCAAAAUUUUGAGGUAAAUCUUGGAUCUCUAUCCGAUACAAUUGAAGCUGGGAUACCGUGCAAACGGAUGACCUCUUUGAUGUAUAAUCGCGCGUAUUGAUCCAUACUAAAAUUCAUUCUUACAGGUAGAAAAUGAGCUGAUUUUGUUAACCGAUCCACUAUAACCCACAUAGCAUCAUUUCCCCUGGCUGAUUUUGGAAAACCCAUAACAAAAUCCAUAGUUAUAUGUUCCCAUUUCCAUUGUGGAAUUGUUAAUGGUUCCAACAAUCCAGAUGGCCUUUGAUGUUCAGCUUUCACUUGCUGACAAGUCAUGCAUCUCUUGACGAAAAGACCUAUGCAUCGUUUCAUAUUUCUCCACCAAAACAUGCUUCUUAGAUCACGAUACAUUUUUGUACCUCCUGGAUGGGCAGUAUAUGGGGUUAAGUGUGCUUCUUCAAGAAUUUCUUUCCUCAAUCCCUCAUCUUUCGGCACACACAACCUCCCCUUAAAGAAUAAGGCUUUAUCACUACUUAAUUCAAAAUCCUUUCGCUUGCUAGUACCAACUUCGGAUUUGAUCUUUUGCAGGAAAGGGUCACCAUCCUGUGCUGCUCUUAUUCGAUCUCUAAGUGUUGGUCGAAUCGUUAGAGCCGCUAUCCUGGCACUAGUUUGGGUUGGUGGAACAAUUACUUCUAGACGUAAGUUGUCGAAAUCCUUUAACAACUGGUCCUGCAUAGUGAUUUGUACUGCUAAUUGUCCCACUGCCUUUCUGCUAAGAGCAUCAGCUACUACAUUAGCUUUACCAGGAUGGUAAUGGAUAGUGCAGUCAUAAUCCUUUACUAGCUCUAGCCAUCUCCUCUGCCUCAUAUUUAAUUCCUUUUGGGUGAAAAAAUACUUCAAACUCUUAUGGUCAGUAUAAAUGUCACACUUGUUUCCAUACAAGUAAUGACGCCAUAUUUUGAGGGCAUGAACUACCGCAGCCAAUUCUAGAUCAUGGGUUGGGUAGUUUUGCUCAUAUUGUUUCAAUUGUCUGGAAGCAUAGGCUAUCACCUUUCCUUUCUGCAUCAGAACACAUCCUAUGCCCUGUCUCGAAGCAUCACUAUAUAUGACAAAUCCUUCUGGUCCGUCAGGUAUUGUUAACACUGGAGCUGUGACUAAUCUUCGUUUCAGUUCCUG
rnacentral:lncRNA from 1 species